rnacentral:rRNA from 1 species
AUUGAACGCUGGCGGCAGGCCUAACACAUGCAAGUCGAGCGGAUGAAGGGAGGUUGCUCCUGGAGUCAGCGGCGGACGGGUGAGUAAUGCCUAGGAAUCUGCCUGGUAGUGGGGGAUAACGUCCGGAGACGGGCGCUAAUACCGCAUACGUCCUGAGGGGGAAAGUGGGGGAUCUUCGGACCUCACGCUAUCAGAUGAGCUUAGGUCGGAUUAGCUAGUUGGUGGGGUAAAGGCCUACCAAGGCGACGAUCCGUAACUGGUCUGAGAGGAUGGUCAGUCACACUGGAACUGAGCCACGGUCCCGACUCCUACGGGAGGCAGCAGUGGCGAACAUUGGACAAUGGGCGAAAGCCUGAUCCAGCCAUGCCGCGUGUGUGAAGAAGGUCUUCGGAUUGUAAAGCACUUUAAGUUGGGAGGAAGGGCAGUAAGUUAAUACCUUGCUGUUUUGACGUUACCAACAGAAUAAGCACCGGCUAACUUCGUG